rnacentral:lncRNA from 1 species
CCAGCCCAGCUUUGCUCAUCACCAACCCAAGCUUGCACAUCAUGGUGUUUGGAGGAGCCCCCAGGAGGCUGGAUAGCAGCAGUGACACCUUUGGGGUUACCACAAGCCAUCUGAGGACAUGGGACAAGGGCACUGUUCGUUGCCCAAAUGACUCCCUGCAGAGACAAGCACACAAACCCUGCCCCUCGAUGAGAUAUAUCCCCUCCUUUUGUUGGCACCUUGGAGCUCCUUCCCCAUCCACAGGCUUUCACAGAUUUUCAAGCUCCAUCCCCAUCCUAUUCCGUACAUGGGUGAGGCAACAACCAGCCCAACUCUGCACCCCAAUACCUAUGGGCAGCCCCCCCAGCUGCCUUCCCAGGCUGAGCCUGUGAGCAAUUGCCGGGCAAAAAAUGACUUUCAGCUGGACUGUGUUAAGCAUGGGUGGUGCUGCCCUGAGCAAUGGCUGCAGGGAGUGGUGGCUCUAUUUAAGGCAGUAUCUGCCAGCCCUACUGGGGCUAUUGGUGGUAGCUGUGUUGGGGGUGAUGUCCUUGGUGUCAUCCUGUGGUCUCCAGUCUCCAGGAGUGGUGUGCCUGUGCUGGUGGCCCUGGAGAAACCUUAUUAACUGUUUAUUGGGCAGUUAUACAACACUUCAAGGUCUUUCAUCUUUUUCUGCCUGUCCAUUUACAUCAAGCCCAAGAGAGCAGACAAAACUGUCACUAUCCAGCAAGCUGUGCGAGGGAAGCCAGGAUGCAAUGACUUUAUUGAAGGAGGUUUCAGAAGGGAAGUCAAGGGGCUGUCCUGUGGAAACAUGGCAGGAGUAUCACCCUGAAGGCGUGGAAAAGAUCUCUGCCACCUAACCAGGCCCCGUCAUCAGAGACCUUUAGCUGUCUGUGCUGGACUCCUCUGCUCCUGUGACAAGGAACAAGGACAGGCAAGUCCUGUGAGGCUCUCCACAAGGUUUUGUUGGCACUAAUAGGACUGUGUGCU